AACGAACGCUGGCGGCGUGGAUAAGACGUGCAAGUCGAACGGGAUUAUUUUUGUAGCAAUACAAAAGUAGUCUAGUGGCGUAAGGGUGCGUAACACGUGGGUAAUCUGCCGAGAAGUGGGGGAUAGCUCGCCGAAAGGCGAAUUAAUACCGCAUGCGGUUAGUGAGGACAUCCUCGCGAUACCAAAGCCGGGGCAACCUGGCGCUUCUUGAUGAACCCGCGGCCUAUCAGCUAGUUGGNGAGGUAACGGCUCACCAAGGCUAUGACGGGUAGCUGGUCUGAGAGGACGACCAGCCACACUGGAACUGAGACACGGUCCAGACACCUACGGGUGGCAGCAGUCGAGAAUUUUUCUCAAUGGGGAAACCCUGAAGGAGCGACGCCGCGGUGGAGGAUGAAGGUCUUCGGAUUGUAAACUCCUGUCAUUUGGGAACAAUUAGUUGGCGUAUUAACUGUCGUCAGCUUGAUAGUACCAGAAGAGGAAGAGAC
rnacentral:rRNA from 1 species